UAAUUAUUAAUUGUUUUCAUUUAACUUUAUACAUCAUAUUCUCAGUCAAUCAAGGUAUGUAUUUUUGUUGUUUAUGGAUUGAAUGCAUUUACGUGAAGGGAGUUAAAGCCCUAACUUAAUUUCUAUGCUAUUGUUGUAAUUGUUUUGUUUGUGAAGUCGGGAUUCAGAGGAUAUGAAGAAGAAGCAGGCGCGUUUCAAGUAACGCACGCAAAAGUUGAGAAGGAGAUGGCUUCGGUUCAAGGAGGAUUGAAAAGUUCAAAGAAAGUAACGAUUCACAUUGGUGUAGCUAUGUUGAUUAAUGCUGGGGAAAAUUGGCAGGGAAGAGGAUCGGUUGAUAACACCAUGUCUCUGUUACAAGAUAUGUAGCUCACAGCAGGUCUACAGAAGACCCUAAAUAAACUAAUAAUAUGAUUUUUCUUUCAGUUGGUGAUUUUGGUCUCUCUCGAAUCAAGCUUCAAAGAUACCUCAAUACAAAGUCUCUGAAAGGAACGAUACAGUGAUUGAUUUUUUACUUUCAUAAUGGAAGAUCAAGGAAAUAAAAACUAAAAGUUCAUGCCUCAAGAAAUAAAUAAAAAACUCUUAUCUUCGACUUUGGCAGAAUGUUCACAUUUACAAUCAGAGGCCGGUUGUCAAACGUUUAGUCAGGCACAUUAGAGGGCCUCCAUUUUUGCUGAACAUGCCUCAUGGAAUUCGCCUCUUCUAUCACCUCAUUAUGUUAACUACAGAGAUCGCGAUAAGGUUUGUUGGUAUUGUGAUGCCCGAAUUUUAUUAUAGUUAUUUUUCUUCUUUUCUUAAACCGAAUUACACUACAACCCUUAAAACUUUAAUAAUGAGUUUUUUUUGUUGCGACGUUAUGAAUUUCUUUUACGACCGCCCAAGACACAUUCUGUGAUUUUAGGUAUCUUGAUUAAUAUCAAUCCAUGAAGUUUACCGGGUUAUAAUCUAUUUAUUAUAUAUAAUAGAUUCAAGUUGCCUUUUACCUUAUCAUUAACUUACCUAAUACGUCACAUUAUUUAAGUUUCUUUUAAUUAUACACUUAUGAGUAUUUUUAAGAAGGUCUCCAAGUAGUUUGUUUUGUGGUUUUCGUACGAACUCUUUUUGAACAAUAUGUUUUGGUUAUCUAUGUAUUUAGUUGGAACGUUAUGUUAUCGUUUGUGUUUCAAGACAGUACUAUAUUAUUAUGUUGUAAACUUACUUACCAGAUUUUGGUUGAUAUGGUGGACAUGCAAUGUCCAAUAUUUGGUAUGCACUUCAGUCAUGUCGGUAUUUUGUUUGUCUUAAUAUUCAUUAGUUUUAUAUUUUUAUGUUUUGAAUUUUAAUGAAUUGAUAUGUGUAAUUAACUUUUACGUUAUUUAUAGGUAUUGCAGUAUUAAAUUUUAUUGUUUUGAGUUUAAAACUUCAAAACUUACACGAAAUUUAUGCAUAAGAGUGAGUGUGUUUAACUUUUAGGUUAUUUAUAAAUCCUUCAAUAGUUUCCAUGUUUUGCCGCUUCAUCUAAUUUAGUUUUGUUCUCGAUUCAAAUUUCAAUUAUGUGCAAAAUCUGAUUCGGGCAGUUCCGGGGUUGGGUAUUAAUGUAAGCUUCUGGACAAGUUCUUAGGCUUCAUGUGGGCCUUUAUAUUUACGGUAUCUGCUUUUAUAUGGGCUGGAGAAAAAGAAAAAUGUGACGUUUGGCAAAAGGUGGGGCAGGUCGAGUGUGGGCGGGAGUCCGGUUUUCUGUUGGGCUCAUGCUCCGACAUCGGGAUCGGAGUUGCUGGAAUUACAGGAUUUGUUAGUGGAAAUGUAGGGCUUCAACACGAACGGGGUAGAGGAUAAGUGGUCAUGGGUGCUGGAUACGUUGGAAGGCUUCUCGGUAAAGAGUCUGAAGAAAAAGUUGCAGGAUAAAACUUUUCAAAACCUGGGCGUUGACUGCGAAUGGAAUUUAUGGUGCCCCAUUAAAGUAAACUUUCUAAUCUGGAGGCUAGCUAUGGAGUGAUUACCGACUUUAAUUAAUCUUGCAAAAAGAAACAUUCAGUUGGAUACCCUGAUGUGCAAGUUCUGUGGCAAAUCGGAAGAAACUUCGGAGCAUCUUUUCGUGUCUUGCGGUUUAUCACAAUAUGUUUGGGACUUCAUUGGAUCUUGGUGCAGGCUGUAUGGUUUCUUUUUGUUCGAGGUGGGAGACGUUCUGAGAUACCACAAGAUGGCUCGGGGGAAUAAAAAUGGAAGAAUUCAGUCUACACUAUUAUGCAGACAGUCGUUUGGGUCAUUUGGAAGGCACGUAAUGAGGCGAUUUUUAAGGGGAAGCAGCCGAGGGUAUCAAGUUUAAUUGAGGAGAUAAAAGUCUUGGGCUAUCUUUGGUUCAAAAGUCGGGCAAAGGCUGCACAGCUUACCUGGGAAGAAUGGAGUUGUUUUAAUUUAUUAAGCAUAGGCAUUUGAGGUUUCUGUUUGUAGCCUGGUGUAAUUGUCGGGUUAACAAAAUGUUAUCCCGUUUCGAUGAAUAAAAAUGUGUUUUUGUUGGCCGUUAAAAAAAAUUCAAAAGUACAGUUUGUCUCUCAUUUUGUGUAAUUUAUUACUAAUUAAUACUUUUCAUAGUUUCUCUUAAAAAUUGUUUAUAAUUAUGAUUUAUAUUUUAUCGUAUUACCUCAUU